GAUUUCAAAAUCUGAUCGGAUCUGAUUGAGAUUAAAGGUUUUGAACUCCUGGGCCCUGGGGACCAUGAAUAGUAUGUUUUAUGGCAUGGCUAGCAGUUUUCUGGACCAAUCAUUAAAUGUAACCCCCCCCCCCCCCCGACCAAAGUUUGAUCUAUCUGAGAAUCAGUCCCAUCCUCAGCACAGGGGGAAAUGUGUCAUCAAUGCAUCGACACAGUUUCCAAGAAAUCUGACUUCAAAUGUUUUUUCAGAUUGUUAAUGUCCAUGUUGAUCUCUAGCUGUGUGUCCGUUCUUAGUAGGAACAGUUGUUUGUGUCUUCAAGACCAUUUCUAUUGUGUUGUAUUUUCCAUUUCCCUUUGUAAUGACAUGUUUCCUUGUCUCUAUAAACGACCCUGUCUGUAAGGUUAACCGAUCCAUAGAAACUGUUGUAGGAGUUAGUUAGUUAAGGUUCCCUAAAGCUCAUAUCAUGGCUGUCCUGCUGACGCACGGCGCCCCCCAGAGGACAGGUGAGAUGUGCUGCAGGAUACAACGGCAACCCCCCGCUGGGACAGAGAUGCACCGUCGGCAACAACGAAGUCAACGGUAACUGCUAUAACUGCGACC